rnacentral:rRNA from 1 species
UAGUCAUACGCUAAACUCAAAGAUUAAGCCAUGCAUGUCUCAGUACAGCCUAGACAAAGUGAAACCGCAAACAGCUCAUUAAAUCAGUUGCAACUUCCUUGCUCUCGAGUUUCUUAAAUGGAUAACUGUGGUAAAUCUAGAGCUAAUACAUGAAAACUUGUCUUGCCGGCAACGGUAGGUCGCAUUUUAUUGGACCCAGAUCAUAAGCAGCUUUUCGGAGCGGCUUUUACAUCAGAGGUGACUCUAGAUAACACUCAGCUAUCAUUCAAGUCCUCUUCGAGCGACGGUGAAGUGUAAUUCAGACUUCUGCCUUAUCAACUAAUGUUGGUAGGCGACGGGACUACCAAGGUGGUCACGAGUAACGGGGAAUAUGGGUUUUAUUCCGGAGAAGGAGCCUGAGAAACGGCUACUACAUCUAAGGGUGGCAGCAGGCGCGCAAUUUGCCCAAUUUUAGACGUAGGAGGCAGUGACGAGACAUAAACAUUGAUGAGCGCAGUUUUCGAAUUGCGUUUCAUCAAAAAAAUUGUGAUUGAGCACAAUGUAAAUGCUUUGGCGACAAUCUAUU